AUAUUCUGUUCCUGUUUAACACUUGCUACCUUGUUUUAAAUUCUUCUGACCUGCGUCAGUGCUGCAUAUAGGGUUCUAAAAUAAGGGAACAUAUAGUUCAGUUUGAAGAGUUCAUGAUGAAAACAUAUUCCCGCAGCCACUGCCUCCUCGAUCUACGCUAGCCUGCAGCAGCAAGGUGAAAUGUGGAGUAAGAGGAGACACCAGACCAAGAUGCAAUGAAUAUUU